AUUUAUUCUUAACUUCCUUUUAAAGAUGCCUAUAUCAUUUAUUUUUCUAAUCUAUUUUUUUUGCCUUAUUUAUGGUCCUACAAAAUAAGUAGAAGUCACCUUUCUAAAAAGGCAGUAUUGGUACUUUUUAGUUUUACUAUCCUUUUGACUAUUAACUAUAUUUCUAAGAUAAUUUGCUCUAAUACUUUGAACUAAGAUUGCUUACAUUAUAAUAACUUCCACACUCUUUCACCUAUUACUCGUAUUACAUCACGACAUCCACUUCCCUGAA
rnacentral:lncRNA from 1 species